rnacentral:rRNA from 1 species
AAUUCGAUUGAGUUUGAUCAUGGCUCAGGACGAACGCUGGCGGCGUGCCUAACACAUGCAAGUCGAACGGGGCCCGCAAGGGUUCAGUGGCGGACGGGUGCGUAACACGUGAAGAACAUGUCUUUCGGUGGGGGAUAGCCGGCCCAACGGCCGGGUAAUACCGCAUACGCUGCUCGGAGCUCAUGCUCUGAGUCGGAAAGCAGCAAUGCGCCGAUCGAGUGCUUCGCGGCCUAUCAGCUAGUUGGUGAGGUAAUGGCUCACCAAGGCGACGACGGGUAGCUGGUCUGAGAGGAUGGCCAGCCACAUUGGGACUGAGACACGGCCCAGACUCCUACGGGAGGCAGCAGUGGGGAAUAUUGCGCAAUGGGCGAAAGCCUGACGCAGCGACGCCGCGUGUGGGAUGAAGGCCUUCGGGUUGUAAACCACUGUCGCGAGGGGCGAAUGCCCCGCAAGGGGAGUGACGGUACCUCGAAAGGAAGCACCGGCUAACUCUGUGCCAGCAGCCGCGGUAAUACAGAGGGUGCGAGCGUUGUCCGGAAUCACUGGGCGUAAAGGGCGCGUAGGCGGCCCGAUAAGUAGGGGGUGAAAUCUUGCGGCUCAACCACAAGACUGCCCUCUAAACUGUCAGGCUGGAGCACGGUAGAGGCAGAUGGAAUUCCCGGUGUAGCGGUGGAAUGCGUAGAGAUCGGGAAGAACACCAGUGGCGAAGGCGGUCUGCUGGGCCGUUGCUGACGCUGAGGCGCGACAGCGUGGGG